UACAGAGGUCCCGAGCGUUGUUCGGAUUCACUGGGCGUAAAGGGUGCGUAGGUGGCGAGGUAAGUCGGAUGUGAAAGCUCGGAGCUCAACUCCGAAAUGGCAUUGGAAACUACCUUGCUCGAGGGUUGGAGGGGGGACUGGAAUUCUCGGUGUAGCAGUGAAAUGCGUAGAUAAUCGAGAGGAACACCAGUGGCGAAGGCGAGUCCCUGGACAACUCCUGACACUGAGGCACGAAAGCUAGGGGAGCAAACAGG
rnacentral:rRNA from 1 species